UACAGAGAGUGCAAACGUUGUUCGGAAUUACUGGGCUUAAAGCGCACGUAGGCGGCGAAGUAAGUGUGAGGUGAAAUCCCACGGCUCACCCGUGGAACUGCCUUGCAUACUGCUUUGCUAGAGUAUGGUAGGGGAGAGCGGAACUCCUGGUGGAGCGGUGAAAUGCGUAGAUAUCAGGAGGAACACCGGUGGCGAAGGCGGCUCUCUGGUCCAUAACUGACGCUGAGGUGCGAAAGCUAGGGUAGCAAACGGG
rnacentral:rRNA from 1 species